AUGCCCACCGUCACCUUCCUGUCGCUCUACUUCAACCGUCUCAACGGCAGCUUCCCAGAGUUCAUCCUCAAGAGCAGCAGCAUCACCUACCUAGACCUGUCGCGCAACACUCUGUCUGGCCCGAUACCGGACUCGCUGCCGGAGAGCCUCCCCAACCUCGUGUACCUCAACCUGUCCUUCAAUGCCUUCUCUGAGCAGAUACCGGCGUCGCUGUCGAAGCUGGGGAAGCUCCAGGACCUGCGGAUUGGCAAUAACGAGCUGAUAGGUGGAAUCCCCGAGUUCCUUGGUUCCAUGUCCCAGCUGAGGGCUCUCGGACUCGGUGGCAACCCGCUUGGCGGGUCGAUCCCGCCGGUUCUUGGCCGGCUCGAAAUGCUACAGCACCUUGACAUCGGGAACGCCAGUUUGGUUUCCACUAUUCCACCUGAGUUGGGCAACCUUGGCAAUCUCAAAUUUGUGGACCUGUCCUUAAACCAGCUCACCGGUGGCUUGCCAGCGGAGUUGGCCAGGUUGCGCAAAAUGCAGGAGUUAUCAGUAGCAUACAACAAACUCACCGGUCAGAUUCCACCGGCUUUGUUCAUGCACUGGCCAGAGCUCAUAUCGUUCCAAGUGCAGUCCAACUCGUUUUCAGGGAAGAUUCAACCGGACCUCGGCAAGGCAACCAAACUGAAAAUCUUGUAUCUCUUCAGCAACAAGCUUGUCGGCUCUAUCCCUGCAGAGCUGGGCGAGCUGGUGAACCUGGAAGAGUUGGAUUUAUCGGACAACUCUCUCACUGGAGAGAUCCCCAGCUCGUUUGGCAACCUCAGGCAGCUCACGAGCCUGGUGCUCUCCUCCAAUCAGCUCAGUGCCACGAUCCCGCCGGAGAUUGGCAACAUGACAGCGUUGCAAGUCUUGGACGUCAACACCAACAGUUUGGAAGGUGAGCUGCCCGCUACCAUCACGUCGCUCAGGAAUCUCCAAAACCUUGCCCUACAUAACAACUACUUCAACGGUACCUUACCACCGGACCUCGGAAAGGGGCUAAGAUUAGCCGAUGUAAUUUUCGAGAACAACAGCUUCUCUGGCGAGCUGCCGCAGAGACUGUGUGAUGGCCUUGCGCUGCAGUUCUUCAUGGCGAAAGACAACAACUUCAGCGGUAGGCUGCCGCCCUGCUUGAAAAAUUGCAGAGAGCUGUCCUGGGUGUGGCUGCAUGGCAACCAAUUCACCGGCGACAUCUCUGAGGUGUUUGGUGUCCAUCCCAACUUGGAGAACGUUGAUGUCUCUGGGAAUCAGCUGACAGGGAAGUUGUCGUCUGACUGGUCAAUGUGCACAAAUCUUCAACACUUAAACAUGAAGGAUAACCGAAUAUCUGGCAAUAUUGAUGCAACCUUCUGCGCAUUGACCUCUCUCCUGACUCUGGAUCUAUCAAAUAACCAAUUCACCGGGGAGCUCCCAAGUUGCUGGUGGGAAUUCAAACUUCUGUUGACUAUGGAUUUGUCCAACAAUAGCUUUUCAGGUGAACUUCCUAUAUCAACGAGCCUGGACCUUAAACUCGAGUCACUUUUUCUUGCUAACAAUUGCUUUCUUGGAGUUUUUCCAUCCGUCAUUGAAACCUGCAGAGAUCUCAUCAUUCUAGAUCUUGGGAACAACAUGUUCUUUGGUGAUAUCCCCUCUUGGGUUGGAACCAGUGUCCCUCUUCUAAUAAUUCUGAGCCUCCCAUCCAACAACUUCAGUGGUGUCGUUCCACCCGAGUUAUCCCAACUUUCUGAUCUGGAAGUCCUGGACCUGUCCAGCAACUCCUUCUCAGGUGAGAUCCUCAUGGCCGUGGCAAACCAAAACUGCUCUCUCAAAUCGGUCCAUCUGGCCGGCAAUGGCUUUGCAGGCACCUUCCCACUGUUCCUGCAAGGCUGCAACUCACUGGUCAACCUGGACAUCGGGAACAACCUGUUCUUUGGUGGUAUCCCAACAUGGAUCGGGAGUCACCUUCCAUUAUUGAAAAUCCUUAGAUUUAGAUCAAACAAUUUCACCGGAGAAAUCCCCCCUGAGUUAUCGAGGCUUUCGCAACUUCAACUGCUCGAUAUGGCCAAAAAUAGCUUGAGAGGAUCAAUUCCGGUAGCCUUCGGCAACUUGACCUCCAUGAGGCAUAAUCUUCCCCCAUUUGACCCUGAUCAGGUUUUCCAUCUUGGUAGAGUCAACAUAUCUUGGAAGGGCCGUGAACAAACUUUUUGGAACGGCAUCGGGUUAAUAACAGGUAUCGAUCUAUCAUGCAAUUUACUUACAGAGAACAUCCCGGAUGAGCUAACACACUUGAAGGGUCUCCGGUUUCUGAACUUGUCCAGAAAUGACCUGUCGGGCAGCAUUCCUGAAAGAAUCGGCAGUUUGGAGCUCUUGGAGUUCCUUGACCUCUCAUGCAAUGAACUUUCAGGUGGCGUUCCUCCCAGCAUUUCAAAUCUGCCGUCCCUCAGCAUGCUAAAUCUCUCAAACAACCGCUUGGAGGGCCACAUACCCACUGGGAACCAGUUACAGACACUUGCAGAUCCAUCAAUAUAUGGCAACAAUCAGGGGCUCUGCGGCUUCCCGUUGAGCGUGUGUGAGCCCACGUCGGGAAAGAGAGCUGAAGACCACACAAAGCUCAGAGACCUUGGUCUGUGUUACUCUGUGAUUCUUGGCAUCGUUUUCGGCUUCUGGCUUUGGUUUGGAGCUCUGUUCUUUCUGGAGCAGUGGAAAUUUUGUUUUCUCCGUUGUGUUGACGGCUUAGGGAUCAAGAUAGCUGUCAGGAGCUAA
rnacentral:rRNA from 1 species